AUUGAACGCUGGCGGCAGGCUUAACACAUGCAAGUCGAGCGGAGCGAGAGUGCUUGCACCUUAGCUUAGCGGCGGACGGGUGAGUAAUGCUUAGGAAUCUGCCUAUUAGUGGGGGACAACAUUCCGAAAGGAAUGCUAAUACCGCAUACGCCCUACGGGGGGAAGCAGGGGAUCUUCGGACCUUGCGCUAAUAGAUGAGCCUAAGUCGGAUUAGCUAGUUGGUGGGGUAAAGGCCUACCAAGGCGACGAUCUGUAGCGGGUCUGAGAGGAUGAGCCGCCACACUGGGACUGAGACACGGACCAGACUCCUACGGGAGGCAGCAGUGGGGAAUAUUGGACAAUGGGCGGAAGCCUGAUCCAGCCAUGCCGCGUGUGUGAAGAAGGCCUUUUGGUUGUAAAGCACUUUAAGCGAGGAGGAGGCUACUUAGAUUAAUACUCUGGGAUAGUGGACGUUACUCGCAGAAUAAGCACCGGCUAACUCUGUGCCAGCCGCCGCGGUAA
rnacentral:rRNA from 1 species